rnacentral:lncRNA from 7 species
UACAGUAUUACAGUACCUGACAAUACCAUAUUUUGAAGUAAAAAUAUACAGUGGAGCACAAGGACCAAGUAUGAAGCAAAUUAAGAAUAGUUUGCAGGAGGAGGACAGCUUCCUUUUUCAUCAGUUGAAUCCUUGGGCAAAAAUCGAUAAAUCAUAAAAUUAUUAACAAAAGCCAAUGUAUCAGAGUGUGCAGCACAACUAAUAGUUUAUAAGCUUUCUUUUAUAAACGUCCAUAACUGACAUAGCUCUGCUACUCAGAGUGACUAUGGAACUCAGAGAUGUUCUUCUGCCUCUAGGUACUUAUGACAGUGCUCUCACCCACUGCAUGCCAGAGGCAUCUGCCACUUUAACCUGUGACAGCCUUUGCUCUGAUGUGAGAAGAUGGUGAUGUGGCUGAAGCAGGGCUAGAUGAGAGAAGCAUCAGUAUCUGCUGGGAGGACUACUUUGAAACAUGCCCUUUGUUUGAAAGCUGCUUUUCCUUGAGGGAGAAUAAGAUGUCUUUGCAUAAUUUACUUCUACCUUUAACGUGGCAGUGGAUACAGAUAAAUGUGAAAAUUACAUUUACCAUUUUUUAUGUACAGGCUGGAUAUUUGCCCCUUAACCUUUCCUCUCCUCCCUUCACCUCCCCUUUUCUUUAGCCAGUAUGAACAAUCUGAUGAUGAUAAAAACCUUUUUUUUUUAUCUACGGUGUCAAGUAAGUAUUUUGAGAAGUUAGCACAGCCAACAAAGAAGCAUGUGAUAUCAUGAGAGAAAUCACAUACAUUUUUGCAUGUUGUAUAUAUUUAUAUAUUUAAUAAGAUAUUUAUAUUUCAUCAUAUAAAUUUAUCAGUGUCAGAGGUAGAAAAAAGUAAUCUAAUAUUUAGCAAAAUUCAAAAGGGCACUGAGAGAAGUGUAGUGUACAGCUCAACAAAUAAUAAAUAAAAUGUUCAGUAGGUGGAUGGACACAACAUAGCAUGGCAGCAAGGACAUACCAAGUGUUGUCUUCAACCUCCUUUUUCUCCCAGGUGCUUACACAGGAAAGUCCUCAGUACUCUAGAGGAAAAGAAAGACCUCUGUAAAAUUCAUGGGAUUGAAUUGUCAUCAGUCCCACCACUAUGAGUCUAAUGGGAUAUAUCUUUCAAUAUACUUGUUUCUUUCUGUGAGUGCAAUAAGUAGUUUGUCAUGAAAGUGCAAACUCACUAGUAAUUAUAUAGAAUUACAAUUUCCAGAGUUCAAAUCAUAAUAUUAAAUGCUGUCACUAUAAUAUGUGACAUUUUGUGAAAUAAUACUGUGUGGCUCACUGCUCAACUGUCUCAUUAAUAAAGCUCAG